rnacentral:lncRNA from 1 species
CUUAAGCGGAAAUGGCAGUACCGAUAGUAACAGCAGUAGUAGAAGCAUUUCUGUCUCCGCUGCUAGUGGAAGUCGGCGGAAGUUUAAGUGCAACUGCACGCUGAGUGGCCACUUACUUGUAAAUCGCACUCGCUGUUGUCGCGGUGAGCUGUAACGGGCCAAAGCAACGCGUUCGACAAGCUUCUGUCGGGUCACAAAACGGGAGCGGUUGGAAAAGCAACAUCCAAGGAAGAAGUGGAAUCGUCGAGCAAUUCUUUGACCGGAUUUGACCGCCGGAGAGCAUUCGGAACUACCGGAAGGUUCCUCGCAUCUAUCGUUUACGCCGGAAAAGUCUUGUUCUCGCGCCAAGAGUGCCCCGUCGACACCGGCUUGUUUGAAUACGGUGGCCAGCAGCAGCGAAAACGGACCGCUCGUCGAAACAUAAGCAAAGCAGGGGCCCGUCCGCUCAGCCUUAGUAGCAGGAAUCGCCGAAGUUAUUGCAAUCAACUGCUCCGGCUUCGUUUGGCGGACAGCAGCCAAACUAAUAACAGUUAACUGUUGCUGCAGCGACUCCGGAAUGGACCGCCGUAGCUGGCUGAUAACGGAGCACCAACUAUCUCCGGAACUUUCUUUUUCCUUUUAAAUGUGCCCCUUGCUACUCGCAGAUUGUUUGGCCAGAUCGAGGAACACGAAUCCACAGAAGUCGCAGAAUGCCACGGUCAGGAAGAAGCCUCCGCCGUUAGUGAUAAAGAAGGGCCGCGAGGAUCGCAUUCUGAAGAACCGUUGGUGGAAGCGGUUACGCAAUCAGCAGCAUUUAAAGCAGAGUCUGAAUAACCAAUUGAGCAGCAAUCGUUGCGCUGUGGCUAAGGAACGAUGCCUCAGAUUAACCUUAAAGCUCAAGUGGCUCAAGUCAAUGUUUUUCAAGAUGGAAUCCCCGUAAAAAAUAAACCUCUUUCUGAAGAGUAACAUUCAUUGA